GGGUAAGUUCCGACCUGCACGAAUCGUGUAACGAGUGGGCCGCUGUCUCGAAGAGGCGCUCGGCGAAGUUGUAUUGGCGGUGAAGAUGCCGCCUACCCGCAGUAGGACGGAAAGACCCCGUGCACCUUUACUGUAAGCUGUCGCUGGAUUUUCGUUCGGAAUACUUAGCGUAAGUGGGAGACGUUGAUCCUUGGGUUUCGGCCUAAGGGGAGUCGCCAAUGAAACACCACCUUUUCUUCAUGAAGAUUCUAACCCUUGCCCGUCAUCCGGGUGGGGGACCACGGCAGCGGGUCAGUUUGACUGGGGCGGUUUCCUCCUAAAGAGUAACGGAGGAGUGCUAUGGUUCUCUCAGCAUGGUUGGUAAUCAUGCGUCGAGCGUAUGGGUACAUGAGAGCCUGACUGCGAGACCUACAAGUCGAGCAGGGACGAAAGUCGGCCCAAGUGAUCCGGUGGUUGAAAGUGGAAUCGCCAUCGCUCAUCGGACAAAAGGUACGCCGGGGAUAACAGGCUGAUCGCGCCCAAGAGUUCAUAUCGACGGCGCGGUUUGGCACCUCGAUGUCGGCUCAUCGCAUCCUGGGGCUGGAGAAGGUCCCAAGGGUCCGGCUGUUCGCCGGUUAAAGCGGUACGCGAGCUGGGUUCAGAACGUCGUGAGACAGUUCGGUCCUUAUCCACUGUGGGCGCAGGAAAUGUGACGGGUUCAUUCCCUAGUACGAGAGGACCGGGAAUGACGUACCUCUGGUGUUCCGGUUGUCGCGUCAGCGGCAGCGCCGGGUAGCUAAGUACGGAAGAGAUAAGCGCUGAAAGCAUCUAAGCGCCAAGCUCAUCCGAAGAUGACAUUUCCCCAUUAGGGACGUGGUAGAUAAUCACGUUGAUAGGUCGCAAGUGGAAGCACGGUAACGUGUUUAGCUAAGCGAUACUAAUUUCCCAAUUGGCUUGAUCU
rnacentral:rRNA from 1 species